AGUGAACGCUGGCGGCGUGCCUAAUACAUGCAAGUCGAACGGAAUUUAAAAGAGCUUGCUCUUUUGAAUUUAGUGGCGCACGGGUGAGUAAUAUAUAGCUAAUCUGCCCCUUGCUGGAGGACAACAGUUAGAAAUGACUGCUAAUACUCCAUACUCCUUUUUACCAUAAGAUAAAUCGGGAAAGAAUUUCGGCAAGGGAUGAGACUAUAUCGUAUCAGCUAGUCGGUGGGGUAACGGCCUACCGAGGCUACGACGCGUAACUGGUCUGAGAGGAUGAUCAGUCACAUUGGAACUGAGACACGGUCCAAACUCCUACGGGAGGCAGCAGUAGGGAAUAUUGCGCAAUGGGGGAAACCCUGACGCAGCAACGCCGCGUGGAGGAUGACACUUUUCGGAGCGUAAACUCCUUUUGUUAGGGAAGAAUAAUGACGGUACCUAACGAAUAAGCACCGGUAA
rnacentral:rRNA from 1 species